UACGUAGGGGGCAAGCGUUAUCCGGAUUUACUGGGUGUAAAGGGAGCGUAGACGGCACGGCAAGCCAGAUGUGAAAGCCCGGGGCUCAACCCCGGGACUGCAUUUAGAACUGCUGAGCUAGAGUGUCGGAGAGGCAAGUGGAAUUCCUAGUGUAGCGGUGAAAUGCGUAGAUAUUAGGAGGAACACCAGUGGCGAAGGCGGCUUGCUGGACGAUGACUGACGUUGAGGCUCGAAAGCGUGGGGAGCAAACAGG
rnacentral:rRNA from 1 species